rnacentral:rRNA from 1 species
ACCAGACUCCUACGGGAGGCAGCAGUGGGGAAUAUUGCACAAUGGGGGGAACCCCGAUGCAGCGACGCCGCGUGGGUGAAGGAGCACCUCGGCGCGUAAAGCCCUAUCGGCAGGGAAGAAAAGCGAACAGGUUCGCCUGGACGGUACCUGACUAAGAAGCCCCGGCUAACUACGUGCCAGCAGCCGCGGGAAUACGGAGGGGGGAAGCGUUAUCCGGAUUCACUGGGGGUAAAGGGAGCGUAGACGGCCAUGCAAGCCUGGAGUGAAAGCCCGGGGCCCAACCCCGGGACUGCUCUGGGAACUGUGCGGCUGGAGUGCGGGAGGGGCAGGCGGAAUUCCUGGUGUAGCGGUGAAAUGCGUAGAUAUCAGGAGGAACACCGGCGGCGAAGGCGGCCUGCUGGACCGCGACUGACGUUGAGGCUCGAAAGCGUGGGGAGCAAACAGGAUUAGAUACCCUCGUAAUA